GAUGAACGCUGGCGGCGUGCCUAAUACAUGCAAGUAGAACGCUGAAGCUUGGUGCUUGCACCGAGCGGAUGAGUUGCGAACGGGUGAGUAACGCGUAGGUAACCUGCCUCUUAGCGGGGGAUAACUAUUGGAAACGAUAGCUAAUACCGCAUAAAAGUCGAUAUCGCAUGAUAUUGAUUUGAAAGGUGCAAAUGCAUCACUAAGAGAUGGACCUGCGUUGUAUUAGCUAGUUGGUGAGGUAACGGCUCACCAAGGCGACGAUACAUAGCCGACCUGAGAGGGUGAUCGGUCACACUGGGACUGAGACACGGCCCAGACUCCUACGGGAGGCAGCAGUAGGGAAUCUUCGGCAAUGGGGGCAACCCUGAACGAGCAAAGCCGCGUGAGUGAAGAAGGUUUUCGGAUCGUAAAGCUCUGUUGUAAGAGAAGAACGAGUGUGAGAGUGGAAAGUUCACACUGUGACGGUAACUUAACAGAAAGGGACGGCUAACUACGUG
rnacentral:rRNA from 1 species